rnacentral:tRNA from 1 species
GGGCUCGUGGCGCAGUGGCAGCGCGCCUGCUUUGCAAGCAGGAGGCCGUGGGUUCAAAUCCCACCGAGUCCA